UACGUAGGGUGCGAGCGUUGUCCGGAAUUACUGGGCGUAAAGAGCUCGUAGGUGGUUUGUCGCGUUGUUCGUGAAAACUCACAGCUUAACUGUGGGCGUGCGGGCGAUACGGGCAGACUGGAGUACUGCAGGGGAGACUGGAAUUCCUGGUGUAGCGGUGGAAUGCGCAGAUAUCAGGAGGAACACCGGUGGCGAAGGCGGUUCUCUGGGACGGUACUGACGCUGAGACGCGAAAGCGUGGGGAGCGAACAGG
rnacentral:rRNA from 1 species